GACGAACGCUGGCGGCGCGCUUAACACAUGCAAGUCGAGCGAGAACCAGGGCUUCGGCCCUGGGGACAGCGGCGAACGGGUGAGUAACACGUGGGUAAUCUGCCCUCGGCACCGGAAUAGCCCGGGGAAACCCGGAUUAAUGCCGGAUGGCCCCUUCACCUCGCGAGGUGUCGGGAAAAGGUAGCUUCGGCCCCUGGCCGAGGAUGAGCCCGCGGCGGAUUAGCUUGUUGGCGGGGUAACGGCCCACCAAGGCGACGAUCCGUAGCUGGUCUGAGAGGACGAUCAGCCACACUGGGACGGAGACACGGCCCAGACUCCGACGGGAGGCAGCAGUGGGGAAUCUUGCGCAAUGGGCGAAAGCCUGACGCAGCGACGCCGCGUGAGGGAAGAAGGCCUUCGGGUUGUAAACCUCUUUCAGGAGGGACGAGGCUACUCGGGUGAAUAGCCCAGAGGGUGACGGUACCUCCAGAAGAAGCCCCGGCUAACUACGUGCCAGCCGCCGCGGUAA
rnacentral:rRNA from 1 species